AAAUGUCUCCUGUAUAAAUUUAGAAAGCCAACGAGCCGAGGCACACACACACACACCAGCAGAGUGUGUUAUCUGGUCCGAACAGGUCCACAUUAGUUGCCCGCUCCCUGACACUGAACUCGCAGCCAUCUAUCUUGGCGGCUCUCUGGUUACUGUUGCUGCUCUCGCAGCACGGUGACUGUCAGAUUUAGGAAACUGGAUCAGCCGCGGCGCAGCACUUGGAGCAGAUAUGUGGCAGGUGGUGGGCCAAAAGGACGGGAGGUUUCUGCUAUCACCGGCUGGUUUAAAAGCCAACAUGCAACUCCAUGGAGGAGCCGACCUCCCCAGAGUUCAACCAUCCCGCCUCCCUGGUGGGCUUCAUAAAACCGAUCCCGCUAUAGUUGCAGAAAUUUGAGGCUGCUUUCAA